CUGCUGGCACGUAGUUAGCCGUGGCUUGCUUUUCCGGUACCGUCAAUGCAGUUUGUUCUUCCCACUCUGCCUUUUCGUCCCGGAUCACAGAGUUUUACAACCCGAAGGCCGUCAUCACUCACGCGGCGUUGCUCCGUCAGGCUUUUGCCCAUUGCG
rnacentral:rRNA from 1 species